AAGGGAGACCUAAUUCCGGUAGGAGACGAAAAAAAAGUAGUCCCAACCAAGAAUCAAUCCCAAAAGGUCGGAACGAGGUAUGAGGCUUUCAAACUAGGUUCUGGGUUCGUAAAAGACCUGAAUCAGGAACAAGGGCUAUUAGCUCAGGUGGUUAGAGCGCACCCCUGAUAAGGGUGAGGUCCCUGGUUCGAGUCCAGGAUGGCCCACCUGCACAGGUGGCAAAAACAAGAGAAGCUCCGAAUCAGCACCUUAUCUUAUAUACAUAUAUAAGAGAGAAUGCUGGCUCUGAGUACAGAGUCCAGAGGAACCUUGAAAACUGCAUAGAGCUAGGUGAAAAAGCCAAAAAAGAAGACCGCAA
rnacentral:tRNA from 1 species